rnacentral:rRNA from 1 species
CCUACGGGUGGCAGCAGUGGGGGAUAUUGCACAAUGGGGGAAACCCUGAUGCAGCGACGCCGCGUGGGUGAAGGCGCGUUUCGGCUCGUAAACCUCUAUCCUCUGGGAAGAUGAUGACGGUACCUGAGGAAGAAGCCCCGGCUAACUACGUGCCAGCAGCCGCGGUAAUACGUAGGGGGCAAGCGUUAUCCGGAUUUACUGGGUGUAAAGGGGGCGCAGACGGCACUGCAAGCCAGAAGUGAAAGCCAGGGGCUUAACCCGGGGACUGCUUUUGAAACUGCAUGACUUGAGUGCAGGAGGGGCAGGCGGAAUUCCUAGUGUAGCGGUGAAAUGCGUAGAGAUUGGGAGGAACACCAGUGGCGAAGGCGGCCUGCUGGACUGUGACUGACGUUGAGGCCCGAAGGCGUGGGGAGCAAACAGGAUUAGAUACCCGUGUAGUC